GAUGAACGCUAGCUACAGGCUUAACACAUGCAAGUCGAGGGACCGGCGCACGGGUGAGUAACACGUAUCCAACCUGCCCUUCACCCGUGGACAGCCUUUCGAAAGAAAGACUAAUACCCGAUGCACAGGAUGGGGAUGCGUUCCAUUAGGUUCUUGGUGAGGUAACGUCUCACCAAGCCUUCGAUGGAUAGGCGUUCUGAGAGGAAGGUCCCCCACAUUGGAACGGAGGCGCGGUCCAAACUCCUACGGAAGGCAGCAGUGAGUAAUAUUGGUCAAUGGGCGUUAGCCUGGCCCAGCCAAGUAGCGGAAAGGAUGAAGGCUUAUGGGUCGUAAACUUCUUUUAUAGAAGAAUGUGUAUUAUAUGAAUAAGGAUCGGCUAACUACGUGCCAGCAGCCGCGGUAAUUC
rnacentral:rRNA from 1 species